UACGGAGGGUGCAAGCGUUGCUCGGAAUUAUUGGGCGUAAAGGGUAGGUAGGUGGUCUCGUUUGUCUGGGGUGAAAGCCUUGAGCUUAACUCGAGAAGUGCCCCAGAAACGGCGAGACUAGAGUCCUGGAGAGGGUCGUGGAAUUCCCGGUGUAGCGGUGAAAUGCGUAGAGAUCGGGAGGAACACCAGAGGCGAAAGCGGCGACCUGGACAGCGACUGACACUCAACUACGAAAGCGUGGGGAGCAAACAGG
rnacentral:rRNA from 1 species